rnacentral:rRNA from 1 species
ACGGGUGAGUAACGCGUGGGCAACCUGCCUUCUACAGGGGGAUAACACAGGGAAACUUGUGCUAAUACCGCAUAAGAUACAAAAGGGGCAUCCUUAAGGUAUCAAAGGAGAAAUCCGGUAGAAGAUGGGCCCGCGUCCGAUUAGCUAGUCGGAGGUGUAACGGACCACCAAGGCGACGAUCGGUAGCCGAACUGAGAGGUUGAUCGGCCACAUUGGGACUGAGACACGGCCCAGACUCCUACGGGAGGCAGCAGUGGGGAAUAUUGCGCAAUGGGGGAAACCCUGACGCAGCAACGCCGCGUGAAGGAUGAAGGUUUUCGGAUUGUAAACUUCUUAGUCGGGGACGAAGAAUGACGGUACCCGAAGAAUAAGCCACGGCUAACUACGUGCCAGCAGCCGCGGUAAUACGUAGGUGGCGAGCGUUGUCCGGAAUUACUGGGUGUAAAGGGCGUGUAGGCGGGAUUGUAAGUCAGAUGUGAAAUUCUGAGGCUUAACCUCAGCGCUGCAUCUGAAACUAUGGUUCUUGAGUGCUGGAGAGGAAAGCGGAAUUCCUAGU